UCCCAGACUCCUACGGGAGGCAGCAGUGGGGAAUAUUGCACAAUGGGGGAAACCCUGAUGCAGCAACGCCGCGUGAGUGAGGAAGUAUUUCGGUAUGUAAAGCUCUAUCAGCAGGGAAGAAGAUGACGGUACCUGACUAAGAAGCCCCGGCUAACUACGUGCCAGCAGCCGCGGUAAUACGUAGGGGGCAAGCGUUAUCCGGAUUUACUGGGUGUAAAGGGAGCGUAGACGGCGGCGCAAGCCAGAUGUGAAAGCCCGGGGCUCAACUCCGGGACUGCAUUUGGAACUGUGUGGCUGGAGUGUCGGAGAGGCAGGCGGAAUUCCUAGUGUAGCGGUGAAAUGCGUAGAUAUUAGGAGGAACACCAGUGGCGAAGGCGGCCUGCUGGACGAUGACUGACGUUGAGGCUCGAAAGCGUGGGGAGCAAACAGGAUUAGAUACCCUUGUA
rnacentral:rRNA from 1 species